GGUGAACGCUCGCGGUGCGCCUAACACAUGCAAGUCGAGCGAGAAGCUUUUCUAGCUUGCUAGAAAAGUAGAAAGCGGCGAACGGGUGAGUAACACGUUGGAAUCUGCCCCCAAGUCAGGGAUAGCCAUUGGAAACGAUGAUUAAUACCGGAUGUGCUCUUCGGAGUAAAGAUUUAUCGCUUGGGGAGGAUCCUGCGUACUAUCAGCUAGUUGGUAAGGUAACGGCUUACCAAGGCUAUGACGGUUAACUGGUCUGAGAGGAUGAUCAGUCACAAUGAAACUGAGACACGGUUCAUACUCCUACGGGAGGCAGCAGUGAGGAAUCUUCCACAAUGGACGAAAGUCUGAUGGGGCGACACCGCGUGAAGGAUGAAGGUCUAACGAUUGUAAACUUCUUUUCUGAGGGAGCAUAAUGAGAGUACCUCAGGAAUAAGGGACGGCUAAUUACGUGCCAGCAGCCGCGGUAAUACGUAAGUCCCAAGCGUUACCCGGAAUCAUUGGGUGUAAAGGGUUCGUAGGUGGACCUAUAAGUCAGGUAUGAAAGACCGGAGCUCAACUCCGUGUUUGUGCUUGAAACUGUAGGUCUAGAAUCAGGGAGAGGUUAGCGGAAUUCUUAGUGUAGGGGUGCAAUCCGUAGAUACUAAGAAGAACACCAAAAGCGAAGGCAGCUAACUGGAACUGUAUUGACACUGAGGAACGAAAGCGUGGGGAGCGAAGAGGAUUAGAUACCCUCGUAGUCCACGCCCUAAACGAUGAUAACUAAGUGUUGGGAAUUGUCCCAGUGCUGUAGCUAACGCGUU
rnacentral:rRNA from 1 species